rnacentral:rRNA from 1 species
CCGAGGGUGCAAGCGUUGUUCGGAAUUACUGGGCGUAAAGCGCGUGUAGGCUGUUCUGCAAGUCGGGUGUGAAAGCCCCGGGCUCAACCUGGGAAGUGCACUCGAAACUGCAGAGCUUGAGUCCUGGAGAGGAAGGCGGAAUUCUCGGUGUAGAGGUGAAAUUCGUAGAUAUCGAGAGGAACACCGGUGGCGAAGGCGGCCUUCUGGACAGUGACUGACGCUGAGACGCGAAAGCGUGGGGAGCAAACAGG